rnacentral:rRNA from 1 species
AGAUUGAACGCUGGCGGCAGGCCUAACACAUGCAAGUCGAGCGGUAGAGAGGUGCUUGCACCUCUUGAGAGCGGCGGACGGGUGAGUAAAGCCUAGGAAUCUGCCUGGUAGUGGGGGAUAACGCUCGGAAACGGACGCUUAAUACCGCAUACGUCCUACGGGAGAAAGCAGGGGACCUUCGGGCCUUGCGCUAUCAGAUGAGCCUAGGUCGGAUUAGCUAGUUGGUGAGGUAAUGGCUACACCAAGGCGACGAUCCGUAACUGGGUCUGGAGAGGAUGAUCAGUCAC